GGUAGUUGUGGUUGAUUUUGUUUAAAUAUGCCCAAUUGUUAAAUUAUGGGUUAUAUUGUUCAGAUGAUUUAGCUAAGCUAGCUAACAACACGUCAGCAGUCUCUUGUUGCCAUAGCAACAGUAAAUAUUGAUAUGGUCUAAUGAGCUGCAAAUAGAGAUGCAGAAUCAAGCUGUAUUGUAAAUACAGAUGAGAUCCUUGAGAUACAAAAUACCAGUAAACCUAUAGGAAAUAAAUAGUUUAAUUUGCAAUAUUUGUAAUUGAUUUUAUUUUAAUCUUUCAAUUAAUGUAUUGUUUACUGAGUUGACAACUAUUUCGUAGGUAUAAUUUGUGUGUAACUUUAAUUUCUGUGUAAAUUUGUUAAUGGCUGUGUAUAGUGCUGUCUUGGGCAUUUUCAGCUAUUGUCACAAAGAUCUGACUUUUUUGCAUUGGAAAACACUAGUGUCAUAAUGAAAACAUGACAAAGCCAUUAGUGUUGUUACGCUCGUGAAAGUUUAGUUCAAUAUGAACUAAUCUUUUAUCUUGUCCAUUAUUCUGUGGUUUUGAGUUAUUUCCCCAUCCAAUGAUAAAUGCUUUCCCUAUGAAUAGCCCAGACAGGUUCAGGGAAAGUCCAGCUGGUCAGUUCAGGGAGAGAGCCAGACCAAUGCAGGCAGCCCAAAGACUAGACCAUCUGAGAGGGAAAAGGCUGUAGAGAGUGAGGAGUGUGUCAGCCUUCACUGCACUAAAGUUUGGCUGUUGAGUCUCCUCUAGUAUGGUUCACCACUUGAAAUGCGAGAGCCUGAGGAGUUUUCCCCCCUCCGUCCAUUUUCAAGGACUUGCUCUCUUACUGCCUCCACUUCACCACUUUUUGGCUAAUGAAACGUCUCUGAUUUGUUGAGUUGACCACCCUAUGUAUGAGAGCCUAAGGAGUUGUUUUCCCUCUGUCCCCUUUUGAGGACCUGCUUUGUCUCCUCCAUCAUUAACUGAGCCACUUUUGGGUUCCUGAGCUGAUUUCAUGUGGUGAGAGGAAUGCAAUAUGUGUAUGUUUAAAGGUUUAUGUGAAGAAACAUACUAUAUGUGAUAAAAUGAC